ACGAACAAGUUAAAACAGUCAAUCAAUAUCUUCAAGAACAUUGCCAAAUUAAUGCAUGGCUCAGUGGACACUUAUCAAACAUGACAAUAUUACCCUCGCGGACCUGAAUCGAGGAGGACUUCAUUUGAAUCAUGAAGGGUUUGAUUUGGGCCAGUGGGACAAACCAUAUAUACGGUGAAAUUUAUUCAAGGAACAAUCGAUACGGCCAGUGAAAUUUAUUUGAGUCAACAGUUACAUCGAGGUCGAGGAAAUACACCUGCAGAGAUAUCAUAAAAAAAGAUUACCAAAUCAUCAAUAUGUGGAUGGAAAGAUACAGUGCAGGGGUAGUAUAGUAUCGAUACAGGAGCGAUGUACAUUAGGCUGGAUCAAGAGCAAAGUGGAGUUCGAAAAAUUGAAGAAUGAUAAUGAUAACAAUGCGCUGAUCAGUAAUACAUCAAUCAUGCACGAGAUGAGGCCAUACAGUAUACUGAAUAGAACCGGCCAGGCAUCGUUGGUGGUGGUACCAAAGCUUCGAAAUGGUUUGAUUGGGGCCAGUUUAAUGCAGACAUUAAACCAUACGGUAAAAAUUAUUCAAGGAACAACCGAUACGGUGAAAUUUUUUUGAGUCAACAGUUACAUCGAGGUCAAGGAAAUAUACCUGCAGAGAUAUCAUAGGAAAAGAUUACCAAAUCAUCAGUAUGUGCAUGGAAAGAUACAGUGCGGGGGUAGUAUAGUAUCGAUACAGGAACGAUGUACAUUAGGCUGGAUCAAGAGCAAAGUGGAGUUCGAAAGAUUGAAGAGUGAUAAUGAUAACAAUGCGCUGAUCAGUAAUACAUCAAUCAUGCACGAGAUGAGGCCAUACAGUAUACUGAAUAAAACCCAGGGAACAUCGUUGGUGGUGGUACCAAAGCUUCGAAAUGGUUUGAUUGGGGCCAGUUUAAUGGGGACAAACCAUACGGUAAAAUUUAUUCAAGGAACAACCGAUACGGUGAAAGUUUAUUUGACUGAACAGUUACAUCGAGGUCAAGGAAAUACACCUGCAGAGAUAUCAUAGGAAAAGAUUACCAAAUCAUCAGUAUGAUUAUGCAUGGAAAGAUACAGUGCGGGGGUAGUAUAGUAUCGAUACAGGAACGAUGUAUUUAAGGCUGGAACAAGAGCAAAGUGGAGUUCGAAAAAUUGAAGAGUGAUUAUCAAUAAUGAUAACAAUGCGCUGAUCAGUUAUACAUCAAUCAUGCACGAGAUGAGGCCAUUCAGUAUACUGAAUAAAACCGGCCAGGCAUC